UUAAAUGUAUUAGCUGGAUCUGUCUUUGAGACUUGGUUUGACUUGGCGUAAUAAGUAUUUCGCUAAGGACAUUCUUCGGAGUGGCCUCGUUUCUAGGACGCUUGUCCGCUUCCCAAUACAAGUUCCACCUCGUGGACAUGACUUUUUUAUUAUCUGGCCUCAAAUCAGGUAGGACUACCCGCUGAACUUAAGCAUAUCAAUAAGCGGAGGAAAAGAAACUAACAAGGAUUCCCCUAGUAACGGCGAGUGAAGCGGGAAAAGCUCAAAUUUGAAAUCUGGCAGCCUCAGGUUGCCCGAGUUGUAAUCUAUAGAAACGUUUUCCGCGUUGGCCCAUGUACAAGUCUCCUGGAAUGGAGCGUCAUAGAGGGUGAGAAUCCCGUCCUUGACAUGGACUACCAGUGCUUUGUGAUACGUUUUCAAAGAGUCGAGUUGUUUGGGAAUGCAGCUCAAAAUGGGUGGUAAAUUCCAUCUAAAGCUAAAUAUUGGCGAGAGACCGAUAGCGAACAAGUACCGUGAGGGAAAGAUGAAAAGCACUUUGGAAAGAGAGUUAAACAGUAUGUGAAAUUGUUGAAAGGGAAACGAUUGAAGUCAGUCAUGUCUAUUGGACUCAGCCGGUUCUGCCGGUGUACUUCCUUUAGAUGGGGUCAACAUCAGUUUUGAUCGCUGGAAAAGGGCAGGAGGAAUGUAGCACUCUCGGGUGAACUUAUAGCCUUCUGUCGUAUACAGUGGUUGGGACUGAGGAACGCAGCAUGCCUUUAUGGCCGGGGU
rnacentral:rRNA from 1 species